CUCUCAAAGUGCCCAAAUAAGGGGUCAUCAUGCCUGGCCCAUUAUUUCCACGUUUAAGGAUCUAUCCAAAGGCUAGGCACAGUGGCUGAUGCUGGUGAUCCCAACACUUUGGGAGACUGAGGUGGGUAGAUCUCUUGAACUCAGGAGUUUAAGACCAGCCUGGGCAACAUGGGGAAACCCCAUCUUUACUAAAAAAAAAUUACUGAAAAUUAGCUGGACAUGGUGGUAUGCACCUGAAGUCCCAGCUACCUGGGAGGCUGAGGUGGGAGAAUCACCUGAGCUUGGGAAGUCAAGGCUGUAGUGAGCCAUGAUCACAUCACUGUACUCCAGCCUGGGCAACAAGUGAGACACUGUCCCAAAAAGAUAAAAAAAUAAUCUCUCCAAGGGAAAUAAAUAAUCAGAUGUAAAUAUGUACAAAAAUGUUCACCAGAGUGUUAUAUAAUUACAAAAAUUAGGAAAACCUAAAUAGUUGACAACAAAGGAUUUGUUGAGUACUCUGUGCUCUAUGAUGUUUCUGUGUAGAAAUACUAUACAUCUAUAAAAAAUGAUACCUGCCCAGUGCUGCCUGCCCGGCACUGCCCAUCCAAUGCCUGUCCCCAGACUGAGGCCCAGCCCCCUUGCUCUUGUCCAUCAAAGGCACCACCAGCAUGUCUGACAAACUGCCCUACAAAGUUGGUGACAUCAGCCUGGACACCUGGGAACACAAGACCCUGGAUAUUGCAGGGAAUGAGUUGCCGGGCCUGGUGGCCAUUCGGGAGCUGUACUUGCCCUCCAGGCCACUGAAGAGCACCCGCGUUGCUGGCUGCCUGCAAAUGAGUGUGGAGACGGCCAUCCUCAUUGAGACUCUCAUCUCCCUGGGUGUUUGGGAGCAGUGGUCUAGUUGCAACAUCUUCUCCACCCAGGACCAUGCAGCAGCUGCCUUUGCCAAGGCUGGCAUGCCAGUGUUCACCCGGAAGGGCAAAAUGAAUGAGGAGUACCCUGGUGCAUUGAACAGACACUGUACUUGAAGGAUGGGCCCUUCAACGUGAUUCUGGAUGAUGGGGGUGACCUUACUAACCUCAUCCACACCAAGUACCCACAGCUCAUGUCGAGCAUCUGAGGCAUCUCUUAGGAUAUCACAACCACGGUCCACAACCUGUACAAGAUGAUGGCCAAUGGAAUCCUGAAGGUGCCUGCCAUCAACAUCAAUGACUCCGUCACCAAGAGCAAAAUUUCACAACCUCUGUGGCUGCCAGGAGUCCCUCACAGAUGAAUGACAUCAAGUGGGCCAAGACAUAAUGAUUGCCAGCCAGGUAGCAGUGGUAGCAGGCUAAGGCAAUGUGGGUGGGGGCUGUGCCCACGCCCUGUGGGGUUUUGGGGCCCACGUCAUCAUCACCGAGACUGACCCUGUCAGUGUACUGCAGCUCCCAUGGAAGGCUAUGAGGUGACCACCACGGAUGAGGCCUGUCAAGAGGGCAACAUCUUUGUCACCACCACAGCCUGUGUCGACAUCAUCCUUGGCCAGCACUUGCAGCAAAUGAAAGAUGAUGUCAUCGUGUGUAACACUGGAUGCUUUGACGUGGAGAUCAGUGUCAGGUAGCUCAACAAGAAUGUUGCGGAGACGGUGAACAUCAAGCCCCAGGUCGACCAGUACUGGCUGAAGAAUGGGCGUCAUAUCAUCCUGCUGGCUGAGGGUUGGCUGGUCAGCCUGGGUUAUGUCAUGGGCUGCCCCAGCUUCAUGGUGAGUAACACCUUCAUCACCCAGGUGAUGGUGCAGAUUGAGCUGUGAAGCCACUCAGACAAGUACCCCAUCGGGGUUCACUUCCUGCCCAAGAAGCUGGAUGACACAGUGGCUGAAGCUCCCCUGGGCAAGCUGAAUGUGAAAUUGACCAAGCUGACUGAGAAGCAAGCCCGAUAGCUGGGCAUGUCCCGUGAUGGCCCCUUCAAGCCAGAUCACUACUGCUGCUGAGAGCCAGGCCUGCCCUUCACCUUUCCAGCUGCUGUCUUUGUUCAGGCCCUGCCUCUCCUCCCUAAAAGCGAAUGGCACCAAUUUUGCGAUUGGUUUGUCGGUGUCCCCCAUCGACUUCCUGGGGCUGGUCACUCAGUUUUUGGCCUCUACAGCAUCCCUCACACUGUGUCAAGUGUGGCAGGGGGAAUUGAGAGGCCCCUCCUCAAACCCUGGUCAUGAUGGAAAUACAAGGGAGGCAUCCACGGGAAACCAUGAGCUGAGUGGUCUUGGAACUGCUCACUAAGUCAGUCCUUCCUAAGUUUGGAAGUUGGUAGUGGAGUCACAAAGCCCAUGUACCUUACCUUUCAGGUAAGGUUCCUGAUCUGUGGACUUAGAUUUGUGUGCUUGUUUUACAGGGUCAGUGGUUCUUCAGCCCAUGACAGAUGAGAAGGAGCUAUAUUGAAGGGCAAAGAGGAACUGUUGUUUGAAUUUUCCUGAGAGCCUGGCUUAGGGCUGGGCCUUCUCUUAAACCUCACAACAAUGAGGUUGGUACUUUUAGUCCCUGUUUACAGGGGUUACAAUAGACUGUUAAGGGAUAACUGAGAAAGGACAGAGAAUUGACAGCCAGAGGGGCCAUAAAAACAUAAAAGCAGGCAUAGAUCAGCUACCACUUUGUAACAAGACAGUUCCUAUCACAACCCUGGGUCAAAAGGAGAAUGAUUUGGUUUAUAAUGUUAAAAGAAAGUGGGAAGGUGGGUAAAUAAAAAUCUUGGUGCCUAAAAAAAUAACGAUGAUACUCAUAUCCAGGCACAGUGGCUCAUGCCUGUAAUCCCAACACUUUGGGAGGUCCACCUGGGCAGAUUGCUUGAGCUCAGGAGUUCGAGACCAGCCUGGGCAAAAUGGCGAAACUCCAUCUCUACCAGAAAUACAAAAAAUUCGCCUAGCGUGGUGGUUGCACCUGUAGUUCCAGCUACUCUAAGAGGCUGAGGUGGGAAGAUCACUUAAACCCGGGAAGUGGAGGUUGCAGUGUGUGGAGAUGGUGCCACUGCACUCCAGCCUGGGUGACCCUGUCUCAAAAAAAAAAAAAAAGAUACUUAUGAAGGAAAUUCUUACAAGAUAAAAUUGUGGAAGAAAUUGUUAAUAUAACUAUUUAUACCAUGACCCCGAAUUAUGUAAAUGAUAAAAGACCAAAAGGAAACACACCAAAAUGUUAACAUUCUUUGUUUCUGAGUGACUGCAUUAUGGAUAUUUAACUUUUUCUCCUUCAUAGUUUUCUACAUUUUCCAAUUUUCUUCAUAGUGAGCACUUAUUACUCUCAAAACCAUUAACAAUCAACAAUAGAAUUCAUUUGAAUCUGGGGACAUGUCUGCCAACCACAUCCCUGACCUGCCCUCACGGUCUCGAGAUGAUGAGAGGAAGAAAGACUCAAGCUGUAAACCCACAUUAAAUGCAAGGCACCAUCCCCACACAAUGAAGCUAAAUGUUGAAAUCCUGCUUCAAAAGCCCUCUGAUGCUAAAAUAAGCCCAGAAAAGCAUUUGCUGCAGUUCUUGGAGAUCUAUUGAAGGACGUCAUUCACAGUGGGCACCAAGUCAAACCCUCGCUCGUCAUCAGUGCUGGCUGCAAUACAAAGAAUUUGAACCAUUUAGGGGAGGAAUAGGGUUGGAGCUUCACAAACAACUAUCCCUUAGGUUGCUAUAAUUGUAAUAAAGGGGAUUACUGACAGGUGCACAGCACAGUGCUUUCCUAGGCGUCAUCUCAUUUGAACUUGGCAACAACCCUGGAGGAAAGAUGCUGGUAGUAACAACAAAAAUAACAACAACGAUGGAGACUUAACAUUUACUAAUUAUGUACUUAUUAUGUGCCAGGAAUCAAUUCUAAACACGUCACAUACAUUAUACCUUUUAACUAAAAAUCAAAAAGAAAAC